UGUGCAAAUCCAUGCAAAACUGACUG
rnacentral:ncRNA from 2 species